rnacentral:rRNA from 1 species
GGCGAACGGGUGAGUAAUGCAUCGGAACGUGCCCAGUCGUGGGGGAUAACGCAGCGAAAGCUGUGCUAAUACCGCAUACGAUCUAUGGAUGAAAGCGGGGGACCUUCGGGCCUCGCGCGAUUGGAGCGGCCGAUGUUAGAUUAGGUAGUUGGUGGGGUAAAGGCUCACCAAGCCAACGAUCUAUAGCUGGUCUGAGAGGACGACCAGCCACACUGGAACUGAGACACGGUCCAGACUCCUACGGGAGGCAGCAGUGGGGAAUUUUGGACAAUGGGCGAAAGCCUGAUCCAGCAAUACCGCGUGCAGGAAGAAGGCCCUCGGGUUGUAAACUGCUCUUGUACGGAACGAAACGGCGCGCUCUGAUAAAGUGCGCUAAUGACGGUACCGUAAGAAUAAGCACCGGCUAACUACGUGCCAGCAGCCGCGGUAAUACGUAGGGUGCAAGCGUUAAUCGGAAUUACUGGGCGUAAAGCGUGC